AGGGUUUGAUCAUGGCUCACCGCGAACGCUGGCGGCAUGGUUAAAGCAUGCAAGUCGAACGAUUAAAGCCCCUUCGGGGGUGUAUAAAGUGGCGAAAGGGCGAGGAAUACGUUCCUACGUACCCCGAGGUCGAGGAUAGCCCAGGGAAACCUGGAGUAAUACUCGAUGUGGUCUACGGAUCAAAGGCUUCGGUCGCCUUGGGAGCGGGGAACGCCCUAUCAGGUUGUUGGUGAGGUAACGGCUCACCAAGCCGAAGACGGGUAGCGGGUGUGAGAGCAUGACCCGCCGCAUCGGGACUGAGACACUGCCCGGACUCCUACGGGAGGCUGCAGCAACGAAUCUUCCGCAAUGCGCGAAAGCGUGACGGAGCAAUGCCGCGUGCAGGAUGAAGCCUUUCGGGGUGUAAACUGCUGUCAGGGUUUAGCAACACAAUGAGCAGACCCAAAGGAAGGGCCGGCUAACUUCGUGCCAGCAGCCGCGGUAAUACGAAGGGCCCGAGCGUUGCGCGGAAUCACUGGGCUUAAAGCGUACGUAGGCGGACAAGAAGGCACCUUGUGAAAGCCCUCGGCUCAACCGAGGAAUUGCUUGGUGAACCGCUUGUCUUGAGGCAAGUAGGGGCUGUCGGAACGAUAGGUGGAGCGGUGAAAUGCGUUGAUAUCUAUCGGAACGCCAAAGGCGAAGGCAGGCAGCUGGGCUUGUUCUGACGCUCAGGUACGAAAGCGUGGGGAGCGAACGGGAUUAGAUACCCCGGUAGUCCACGCCGUAAACGAUGUGCACUAGAUCGAGGGGGUUCUGACGCCAUUCUCGGUCGAAGCAAAAGUCUUAAGUGCACCGCCUGGGGAGUACGGUCGCAAGGCUAAAACUCAAAGGAAUUGACGGGGGCUCACACAAGCGGUGGAGCAUGUGGCUUAAUC
rnacentral:rRNA from 1 species